CCUUUCACCCCAGAGCAUCCCAGAUUCCCAAAUCCCACCCAACCACCUCUCCCCAAAACCACCUCAGACCAGCGCAUGGCCCAAAUCCUGCCCUUUCCAACCCAAAAAAGCCACGUCUGGUGACAACAUCACCCCUGGGACAGAGGGAUGUACCCCAUAUCCUCAUCCCAGCCCCAUCCUGGCUGCGGCUCUUUGCACGGAACCCCCCGAAAUCCCGGGAGCGCGGCGCUCCGCGCGCAUCCCGCCGGCACCGCGGGAUCCGGGCCGCGGUUCCGGAUCGCUCCGGGGAACCGCCCGGGAAAACCUUUUCAUCCCAAAUCCAUAUUGUUCCCACCCAGCGGGGCGACCAUUCAACCUCCCACCAGGCGCAAGGGUUGGGCUUCCAGCCGGAAAUUUCCGUCCCAAGGUACAAAAAAAAUCAUAGCUGGCCCCAAAAAAAAUAAAAGUGGAAUUGGGGUGGGGUGGGAGGUGGGGGGAAGGGAGAGAAAAAAAAAAAAUUCCUCGUCCUCCUUCCCGCGCGUUGGGGCUCUCCAAAUAUUUCUGUGGAUCCCAAGGGGUCCCGAGGGGACAAAGCACGGACACGGCGCGGCUGCCCCGAACAAUGGGGCCGGAUAUUUUCUGAUGUGAGCGGAGCCGGAUCAUAUCCGGCCUACCAGGCGCUCUAGGAAAAAUAAUUGAUUUUUUUUAAAAAAAAAAAGGAAUAAAGGAAAAAAAAAAUUAUAUAUUUUCUGUAAAAA